CACAUGCAAGUCGAACGAAGCCUUCGGGCUUAGUGGCGCACGGGUGAGUAACACGUGGGAAUAUACCUCUCAGUGGGGGAUAACGUCGGGAAACUGACGCUAAUACCGCAUACGCCCUUCGGGGGAAAGAUUUAUCGCUGAGAGAUUAGCCCGCGUCCGAUUAGCUAGUUGGUAAGGUAAUGGCUUACCAAGGCUACGAUCGGUAGCUGGUCUGAGAGGAUGAUCAGCCACACUGGGACUGAGACACGGCCCAGACUCCUACGGGAGGCAGCAGUGGGGAAUAUUGGACAAUGGGGGCAACCCUGAUCCAGCCAUGCCGCGUGAGUGAUGAAGGCCUUAGGGUUGUAAAGCUCUUUCGACGGGGACGAUGAUGACGGUACCCGUAGAAGAAGCCCCGGCUAACUUCGUGCCAGCAGCCGCGGUAAUACGUAGGGUGCGAGCGUUAAUCGGAAUUACUGGGCGUAAAGCGUGCGCAGGCGGUUCUGAAAGUCAGCUGUGAAAGCCCCGGGCUUAACCUGGGAAUGGCGGUUGAAACUAGAG
rnacentral:rRNA from 1 species